rnacentral:rRNA from 1 species
UACGUAGGGGGGCAAGCGUUGUCCGGAAUUAUUGGGCGUAAAGGGCUCGUAGGCGGUUUGUCGCGUCGGGAGUGAAAACUCAGGGCUUAACCCUGAGCCUGCUUCCGAUACGGGCAGACUAGAGGUAUGCAGGGGAGAAUGGAAUUCCUGGUGUAGCGGUGAAAUGCGCAGAUAUCAGGAGGAACACCGGUGGCGAAGGCGGUUCU